AACGAACGCUGGCGGCGCGCUUAACACAUGCAAGUCGAACGAGAAGGCGUAGCAAUACGCUUGUACAGUGGCGAACGGGUGAGGAAUACGUGGGUAACCUACCCUCGAGUGGGGAAUAACCAGCCGAAAGGUUGGCUAAUGCCGCGUACGCUUCCCGGUCUGCGGAUCGGGAAGGAAAGCCGUACAAAGUGUGCGGCGCUCAAGGAUGGGCUCACGUCCUAUCAGCUUGUUGGUGAGGUAACGGCUCACCAAGGCUUCGACGGGUAGCUGGUCUGAG
rnacentral:rRNA from 1 species